GGAAAGAUGGCUGAGUGGUUUAAAGUGACAGAUUGCUAAUCUGUAAUAAUUUUAAUUAUAUAUAAAUUAUCGGGGGUUCAAAUCCCCCUCUUUCCU
rnacentral:tRNA from 1 species